AUAUUAAAUAUGAUUUUUGUUUGUGUUUUAUGAACAUGUUUUUGCAUAUUAUAUUUUGUUUUUGUUAUAUGUUUCACAUGCACUUACAAAUGCCUUUUGAGUUAUUGAGUUAUAAAAAGUUAACGAAUUUAGUUUAGUUGUGUGAGCUCAUGUUAUAACAUAAAAAUUACAAAAGAAAUUUUCGGAAAGUUUUUAAUAGACUAAAAAGAAAGCAACCGAUUUGCAAACUUGAUCCGAAACAGUUGCGACGUGUCGUGGAGUAAACUCCUCUAAGCAGCGCACGUGUGGCUGGCUCCUUUCAAAUUUAUGACCAUGUGAUUUUUUAAUAAAUAAACUUUGUUGGUGAACAAAAAUGAGUGUAUUGUAAUAAUAGUCAGCGCAUAAUUUUGAAAAGUAAAUCCUCUUUCUGUCUGCGACGGAUGCUGGAAGUGAUGGUUGUGUGUGUUAGUGAUGACAGCAACGGUUACGUGAUGAAAGCUCACAACGCACAGUGGAAUGCUUAUUUCAACAUU